rnacentral:rRNA from 1 species
UACGUAGGGGGCAAGCGUUGUCCGGAUUUAUUGGGCGUAAAGCGCGUGUAGGCGGUCCGGUAAGUCCGCUGUGAAAGUCGAGGGCUCAACCCUCGAAUGCCGGUGGAUACUGUCGGGCUUGAGUACGGGAGAGGCGAGUGGAAUUCCUGGUGUAGCGGUGAAAUGCGCAGAUAUCAGGAGGAACACCGAUUGCGAAGGCAGCUCGCUGGGACGUGACUGACGCUGAGACGCGAAAGCGUGGGGAGCAAACAGG